rnacentral:rRNA from 1 species
GAUGAACGCUGGCGGCGUGCCUAAUACAUGCAAGUCGAGCGAACAGACGAGGAGCUUGCUCCUCUGACGUUAGCGGCGGACGGGUGAGUAACACGUGGAUAACCUACCUAUAAGACUGGGAUAACUUCGGGAAACCGGAGCUAAUACCGGAUAAUAUAUUGAACCGCAUGGUUCAAUAGUGAAAGACGGUUUUGCUGUCACUUAUAGAUGGAUCCGCGCCGCAUUAGCUAGUUGGUAAGGUAACGGCUUACCAAGGCAACGAUGCGUAGCCGACCUGAGAGGGUGAUCGGCCACACUGGAACUGAGACACGGUCCAGACUCCUACGGGAGGCAGCAGUAGGGAAUCUUCCGCAAUGGGCGAAAGCCUGACGGAGCAACGCCGCGUGAGUGAUGAAGGUCUUCGGAUCGUAAAACUCUGUUAUCAGGGAAGAACAAAUGUGUAAGUAACUAUGCACGUCUUGACGGCACCUAAUCAGAAAGCCACGGCUAACUACGUG